GGAGGGAUGGCCGAGUGGCCGAUGGCAACGGUCUUGAAAACCGUCGUAGCGCAAGCUACCGUGGGUUCGAAUCCCACUCCCUCCG
rnacentral:tRNA from 1 species